rnacentral:rRNA from 1 species
UUUGUCCUACGGGACGCAGCAGUUAGGAAUAUUGGGCAAUGGAGGAAACUCUGACCCAGCAACGCCGCGUGAAGGAAGAAGGUUUUCGGAUUGUAAACUUCUGAUCUGAGUGAAAAAGAAAGUGAUGGUAGCUCAGGAGAAAGCCACGGCUAACUACAUGCCAGCAGCCGCGGUAAUACGUAGGUGGCGAGCGUUGUCCGGAAUAACUGGGCGUAAAGGGAGCGUAGGUUGCGAUUUAAGUUAGAUGUGAAAGCCCAGGGCUCAACCCUGGAACUGCAUUUAAAACUGGAUUGCUAGAGUACAGG